rnacentral:rRNA from 1 species
UACGGAGGGUGCAAGCGUUGUCCGGAAUCACUGGGCGUAAAGGGCGCGUAGGCGGCUCAUGAAGGCUGUGGUGAAAGUCCGGGGCUCAACCUCGGAUCGGCCGUGGCGACUCGUGGGCUGGAGCACUGCAGAGGCGGGUGGAAUUCCGGGUGUAGCGGUGGAAUGCGUAGAGAUCCGGAAGAAGACCGGUGGCGAAGGCGGCCCCCUGGGCAGUAACUGACACUGAGGCGCGACAGCGUGGGGAGCAAACAGG